GUGGCUAUAGUUCAAUGGCAGAACACUGGUUUGUGGUACCAGUUACAAGGGUCCGAUUCCCUUUAGCCACCCCU
rnacentral:tRNA from 1 species